GACGAACGCUGGCGGCGUGCCUAACACAUGCAAGUCGAACGGAAAGGCCCUGCUUUUGCGGGGCGCUCGAGUGGCGAACGCGUGAGUAACACGUGAGUAUCCCCCCCCUGUAUUUGGGAUAACUUCAGGAAACUCGGGCUCAUAUCGGAUAGGAGCUCCUGCUGCAUGGUGGGGGUUGGAAAGUUUCGGCGGUUGGGGAUGGAAUCGCGGCUUAUCAGCUUGUUGGUGGAGUAGUGGCUUACCAAGGCUUUGACGGAUAGCCGGCCUGAGAGGGGGACCGGCCACAUUGGGACUGAGAGACGGCCCAGACUCCAACGGGAGGCAGCAGUGGAGAAUAUUGCACAGUGGGCGGGAGCGUGAUGCAGCGACGCCGCGUGCGGGAUGACGGCCUUCGGGUUGUAAACCACUUUCGCCUGUGACGAAGCGUGAGUGACGGUAAUUGGUAAAGAAGCACCGGCUAACUACGUG
rnacentral:rRNA from 1 species